AUUGAACGCUGGCGGCAGGCCUAACACAUGCAAGUCGAACGAGUGGCGGACGGGUGAGUAAUGUAUGGGAAACUGCCCGAUGGAGGGGGAUAACUACUGGAAACGGUAGCUAAUACCGCAUACCAUCAGAUGUACCCAGAUGGGAUUAGCUAGUUGGUGGGGUAAAGGCUCACCAAGGCGACGAUCCCUAGCUGGUCUGAGAGGAUGACCAGCCACACUGGGACUGAGACACGGUCCAGACUCCUACGGGAGGCAGCAGUGGGGAAUAUUGCACAAUGGGCGCAAGCCUGAUGCAGCCAUGCCGCGUGUAUGAAGAAGGCCUUAGGGUUGUAAAGUACUUUCAGCGGGGAGGCGUUACCCGCAGAAGAAGCACCGGCUAACUCCGUGCCAGCAGCCGCGGUAAUAC
rnacentral:rRNA from 1 species